rnacentral:rRNA from 1 species
CCUACGGGAGGCAGCAGUGGGGAAUAUUGCACAAUGGGGGAAACCCUGAUGCAGCGACGCCGCGUGAGGGAAGAAGUAUUUCGGUACGUAAAGCUCUAUCAGCAGGGAAGAAAAUGACGGUACCUGACUAAGAAGCCCCGGCUAACUACGUGCCAGCAUCCGCGGGAAUACGUAGGGGGCAAGCGUUAUCCGGAUUUACUGGGUGUAAAGGGAGCGUAGACGGCGGUGCAAGUCUGGCGUGAAAUGCCAGGGCUUAACCAUGGAACUGCUGUGGAAACUGUGAAGCUAGAGUGCAGGAGAGGUAAGCGGAAUGCCUGGUGUAGCGGUGAAAUGCGUAGAUAUUAGGAGGAACACCAGUGGCGAAGGCGGCUUACUGGACUGUAACUGACGUUGAGGCUCGAAAGCGUGGGGAGCAAACAGGAUUAGAUACCCCAGUAGUC